ACGAUCCCCGUGGGAGAGAUCGUCCCGGCCCCAGCGGGACCGGGACGGCGCCGAAGGAGCAACCGCCCCUGGAAACUCUCAGGCAAACGGACCGUGGGGUGGAC
rnacentral:ncRNA from 1 species